AAGAAUUUAAUGGUCGAACAGACCAAGAAAAUUGAAAUUUUACACCCAAAUCUUAUCUUAAUUCAACAUCGAGGUCGCAAACUUAUUCAUCGAUAUGAACUCUCCGAAAAAAUUACGCUGUUAUCCCUAAGGUAAGUUAAUCUUAUAAUCAAAAAUUCUGGAUCAAAAAAACAUAAAUUAAUGAAUAAAAUAUUAAAAGUUAAAUAAAUUUUAAUGUCACCCCAACAAAACUUUAUAUUCUAAAAAAUUAUUUAAUAAACAAAAAAUAAUAAUUAAUAAAUAAAGUAAACUUCUAUAGGGUCUUCUCGUCCUAUAAAAAAAUUUUAGCUUUUUAACUAAAAGAUUAAAUUCAAAAUAAUUAAAAAAAGAAAGUUUAUUUUUCAUCAAACCAUUCAUACUAGCCUUCAAUUAAAAGACAAAUGAUUAUGCUACCUUCGUACAGUUAAAAUACCGCAGCCUUUUAAUUCAUAAAAAUCAAUGGGCAGGUCUGAUCGUUAAAUUAA
rnacentral:rRNA from 1 species